UUCCUGUCGAUAUGCACAUCUACAUAGUAUGUCCUUAUUAUCUACAAAGUUUCAUGAAAUUCUGUUGUGUGGUUUCAGAGGAGUUGCGAUGACAAACUGUUGCAGUAGUACAUUGAAGCAAAUAAGUUCAAAGGGGCGUAACUCCUAGAAAAAAAAAUUGAACCCUAAUUUCCUGUCGAUAUGCACAUCUACAUAGUAUGUCCUUAUUAUCUACAAAGUUUCAUGAAAUUCUGUUGUGUGGUAUCAGAGGAGUUGCGAUGACAAACUGUUGCAGUAGUACAUUGAAGCAAAUAAGUUCAAAGGGGUGUAACUCCUAGAAAAAAAAUUGAAUCGCAAUUUCCUGUCGAUAUGCACAUCUACAUAGUAUGUCCUUAUUAUCUACAAAGUUUCAUGAAAUUCUGUUGUGUGGUAUCAGAGGAGUUGCGAUGACAAACUGUUGCAGUAGUACAUUGAAGCAAAUAAGUUCAAAGGGGCGUAACUCCUAGAAAAAAAAUUGAACCGCAAUUUCCUGUCGAUAUGCACAUCUACAUAGUAUGUCCUUAUUAUCUAAAAAGGUUUCAUGAAAUUCUGUUGUGUGGUAUCAGAGGAGUUGCGAUGACAAACUGUUGCAGUAGUACAUUUAAGUAAAUAAGUUCAAAGGGGCGUAACUCCUAGAAAAAAAAUUGAAUCGCAAUUUCCUGUCGAUAUGCACAUCUACAUAGUAUGUCCUUAUUAUCUAAAAAGGUUUCGUGAAAUUCUGUUGUGUGGUUUGAGAGGAGUUGCGAUGACAAGAAAUAGGACUGACGGAUUGACGGACUGACGGACUGACAGACUGACGGACUGACGGACUGACGGACGGACAGACGGACAGACGGGUCAAAAACAUUAUACCCUCCCCAACUCGUUGCGUGGGGUAUAAUUAAAGAACCUUAGUGAGCGCGCUCACAUACCCCACGUCCCCACAUUGUCACUGGAGAAAUAAAAUAACUGUAAGAAAAAAAAAUUGUAUAAGAAAAAAAAAUUGAACCAUAAUUUCCUGUUGAUAUGCACAUCUACAUAGUAUGUCCUUAUUAUCUACAAAGUUUCAUGAAAUUCUGUUGUGUGGUUUCAGAGGAGUUGCGAUGACAAACUGUUGCAGAGGUAUAUUGAAGCAAAUAAGUUCAAAGGGGCGUAACUCCUACAAAAAAAAUUGAAUCAUAAUUUCCUGUCGAUAUGCACAUCUACAUAGUAUGUCCUUAUUAUCUACAAAGUUUCAUGAAAUUCUGUUGAGUGGUUUCAGAGGAGUUGCGAUGACAAACUGUUGCAGUAGUAUAUUGAAGCAAAUAAGUUCAAAGGGGCGUAACUCCUGGAAAAAAAUUGAAUCGUAAUUUCCUGUUGAUAUGCACAUCUACGUAGUAUGUCCUUAUUAUCUACAAAGUUUCAUGAAAUUUUGUUGUGUAGUUUCAGAGGAGUUGAGAUGACAAACUGUUGCAGUAGUACAUUAAAGUAAAUAAGUUCAAAGGGGCGUAACUCCUAGAAAAAAAAAUGAAUUGUAAUUUCCUGUCGAUAUGCACAACAACAUAGUAUGUCCUUAUUAUCUAAAAAGUUUCAUGAAAUUCUGUUGUGUGGUUUCAGAGGAGUUGCGAUGACAAACUGUUGCAGAGGUAUAUUGAAGCAAAUAAGUUCAAAGGGGCGUAACUCCUACAAAAAAAAUUGAAUCAUAAUUUCCUGUCGAUAUGCACAUCUACAUAGUAUGUCCUUAUUAUCUACAAAGUUUCAUGAAAUUCUGUUGUGUGGUUUCAGAGGAGUUGCGAUGACAAACUGUUGCAGUAGUAUAUUGAAGCAAAUAAGUUCAAAGGGGCGUAACUCCUGGAAAAAAAAUUGAAUCGUAAUUUCCUGUUGAUAUGCACAUCUACGUAGUAUGUCCUUAUUAUCUACAAAGUUUCAUGAAAUUUUGUUGUGUAGUUUCAGAGGAGUUGAGAUGACAAACUGUUGCAGUAGUACAUUAAAGUAAAUAAGUUCAAAGGGGCGUAACUCCUAGAAAAAAAAAUGAAUUGUAAUUUCCUGUCGAUAUGCACAACAACAUAGUAUGUCCUUAUUAUCUAAAAAGGUUUCGUGAAAUUCUGUUGUGUGGUUU